UGGGAGCGCAUUGACUGUGUAGGCAAA
rnacentral:piRNA from 1 species